CAUCCCCCCCCCCCCCCCGCACGCACCGCCCGAGCUCGCGUCGCCCAGAUCCCCUUCUCACCCUGCCUCACCCGCACCGUCGAGCAGCACGACCACCUCACCGGCCAGUUCCGCCCCUCUGCUCGUCACCACUACAUCGUCCUCCCGGCCGAUGCGACCCCCGGGCGACAUGCAGGUGCGCCAUCCUGGCACUAGGGGUCGAGGAUCCAUCAUCGUGGUUCGUGCUUCGCCAGGUUAUCAAUCAUCUGAAUCAGCUACUGGAGUACCACCCGCCCGCGGAAUAACCAGCUGCCGGAGUAUUAUUUGAUAUGUUCAUAACUUGGUUUUUGUUCCCUCUUGGGUGAGAAUUUGUAUUGUAAUUGUGUAUUAGAUCACUGAAUCAUCAACAAACUGUUGAGAAUUCGGUAUGUAUAUCACACAAACAUGCAUCCCCAUCUAGGCGACAAUAUAUUUACUCCCGUUUUAAAUUUCCACAGUUCCAAGCAACACUAGUUAUGUUCCUAGAGCACUCUUUCAUGCUUCUUAUCAAUGGUACUUUGCAAUACAUACGGCCCAUGUUGGCCGCAAUCUUGGUUUGUUUCCGUUUCCAAUGUUCUAUUCUUCCAAUUAAGGUGAGUCAUGUUGAGAUAGCAUAUUUUUCAUGCUUCCUAGGUGCUUCUCAUGUACUGAUGCUUCUUCACCCGUUCAUCGUAUUAUAUGUACGUACAAAUCGACUUCAAUCUCCUGGCAUGCUUCCUAGGUGUAGAUAUCACUUCUUAAUAGCAUCCAGGCUUCUUGAGGUGAUUCUUAAGUACAAAUGCUUCCUAGGUGAUUACAAAAGCUUCCAUAUAUCUGAUGUAUAGAUGGAACUUCGAUCUUUUGCCAUGUUUCCUACGUGUACAAAUGCUUCUGAGCACGUGGAUAAUUAUUUUACAGUUUUGCUAGAACUCAUUUAGAUGAGAUUUAAUUUGGUCUCAUUCAUCUUUUAUAGCCAUUCGAUGUGAUGCUAUAAGAUGCGUGUGUUCUGACGUGGGUUGUAUCCGUUCUUGUUUUCCAGGUGAAUGAGACCAAAUUACGUCUCAUCUAGAUGAGUUCUAGAAGCAAAUUCUCUGGUCAAUGGAAACAAAAUUAUACAAUGUGGCGACCUUAACCGUCUUCCUCUCUAUGACGCCGAAAGAAUGGAAUUGAGAAUUUACGAACCAUUGUUCUACGUAAAGCGUGUACGGGAACAUACCGCUCAGUAGACCGAAGCAAUGUCAUAGGAUAUAGGAAGACAGACUUGAGCAUAUGAAGCAGUGUAAUAUUUUUGGAGACAUGAAGGAAGCAAAUGUAUUGGUAGUCGAACACAAGUUAUAUCAGUGGAUGAAGCACAUAAAUUUCAGCGA